AGGUCUCUUAGUGAGUACUCAUCCAGAUGGUCUGCAUGUGUGUCAUAUCUCCAUGAAGCAAAAUGAAACUGAGAGAGCUUCAAAGCAAAGGCUCCUCAUUCUGUACUGUUGCAGAGAAUCGCUUGAACAGCGUGUGCUCAGUUGAUUUAGUGGCCCUGCUGAUGUCUGGACCAGCACACCCCUUUCUUUAAAGAUGAUACUCUGGAGGUGCACAAGAAUGCUCUGUGCCCUUCAGAACACUGCAAUGAAAUACCGUUACAUCACGGUAAUGUCCUUUCACGCGUCCUGCAGGACACAAAAUGUUCAAAUAAGGGUGUUAGAGGGUUUGCAGAGCUGGUCAAUAGAUGCUUAUUGAGGGCUUUACUGUUUUCUCUGAGCAAGAAUGUGGGAAAACAACAGAGACCCUCAUGUGGCUUGAAGUGUGCAGCCUCCGAGCCCUGCCCUGCUGGAAGUCCAGCUCAGCCAUCGCUUCAUCUUGCUCACCUGGCCUGAGCAGGUGGGCUGGUGCAAGCGUGCAGAUUUCAUCCCUGCUUGGCACUCGGCGGUGCUGUCAGAAACAUGCCUGUAUCAUCAAUUCCCUAAUCACUCCCGAGAGACUGAUGCAUUUCUGUAAAAGCCCGAUUUACAUGGUGUGACUACAAAUUAAAAAGACGGAUUUUGUUCUGGUUUUGUUGAAAUCAUUCUUUAGAGACAAUGUUUAAAACAAAAUUUAUCAAAUGGUCUGUAGUCUACUUACUCCCAGAUAUUAAUCUCUGCCAACCAUGCUGGGAAGCUCUUUCCCUCUUGAAAAAUUUCCAUUCUUGUGAAUUUAGUCCUUUCAUGUGGAGUCAACCUUAUAAGACUAUUAUUAUUGCCUUCUCUUUUUUGAGGGAAAAGAACAAAAAAGGCAUUGGCAGCUGAUUGUUUGGCUGGUUCAUAGAAUGAGAGACAAAUGACGUUUUCUUUAAAAAUAUACAAAGCUCUACUAAAAUAGGACUUCAUAUUACCGGUUGCAGUUAUUAACUUAGGAGCCAAUGGGGUUUCUACUUUCUCAAGAUAAAAGCUUCUCAUGUUAACACCACCUACUGCAUAAUGUCUUGGCAUAAUGUGCAGAAUUUUCUUUGUUACAUAAUUAGUGAAUGGCAACUUUUUCCUCAUGCCUUCCAAUUUUGGGGCAAAGAUAACUCCAUGAGUUCUAAGAAUGAGAGCUUGUGUUCUCCUUAGAAAUAGUGAGCAAGGCAGUAAAACAGAUUCUCUUUUUAGAUUAUGUGUUAAUAUCCUGCAUUAUUGUAUGUUACAUAUACAUAGGUUAUUCAGACAACUUUUCUAAAACAGUAACACAAAUAAACAUUAUAAUUCUUUACCACCAACCUCAGUAUUUCUGGAAAAGUGUGUGGUAAAUAAAAGAGGUUUGGCAGAAAGCUCUUUCGCCUUCAUUCUCAAUCUUCUUGGCUCCUCACUCACUUCCUAUGAAUCUAUAACAUCCAAACUGUCCCCUGUUGGCACAGGAAGAUGGGAGAAAUGGAUGUGACUGAGGCACUCAUACAUUUGGAGAUUCCCAAAGCUUCCUGUACUAGGGGAGGGAAGUGAGUGCUGAGGACAGGAAAUAGGUUUCUAACAAGGGAAGGGGCUGUCAAAUCCUUUUCCCUGGCAGUCUCAGUCCCUCUGGAGAGCGGGGUCUCCAACCACCUCAUGACAUAAAUUCUUUCCAUUGUCCCUGGAAUUGUGGUCUUUCCACAUCACCACUUUGGGAAUGUUUAUUGACUGGUAGGGCUUAGGAAGAGUGGUGAAUUAUUUCCAACCAAAGUGUUCCACUUUGAUGUGUGAUUAGAGGGAGAAUUGAGGGGCUAUUAGAUUUCCAUAACGAUUGGAAUUGUUAAGACUGAAAGAAGUGCUUCUGUUUUAGUUUUUAGAAUUUUUAGAUUUAUAUUGCAAACCAGGAUACAAUUAAGGAAAUAUUGGUGUGCAAACUUAAAAAAAGUAUAAAAUAUAGUUCUGAAUGCCUUUUGUGUAGAACAUUAGAUCAGUGAGAUCCAGAAACUGUAGAAUAAUAAACUCCUAUUUUCACUUUUAAAAUAUAGGAGGCAUAUUUCACUGUGCUUGUUAUACAGAGUAAAUGGAAGGAUAAAACAUUGCGAAUAUUAUGAAGUGUUGUGUUUCUGACUUGAGCUACUGUUUAGAAUGCUGAUUGUCAUUUACACAUUAUGUAUAGGAAACAAUAUGAGUUUUAUAAAAUUACUAAGUUUAUGAGAGGAUUAAGCAGGUUUUGCUUUUAUAGUCAUAACAUGUUCAAAUGUAUUUGCAUCAAAUGGGAGAUAUAAUUUCUCUUUGUAAUUGAAAUUUAAAUCUCAGCAGAAAUAUGGCACUUAGAAAACUAUUUUAUGGGCCUUUCUUUUAUAAAGAUUCUGCACAGAAAGAAGGUUACACAGCUGGAGAUUGUUUAGAGACAAUUAAGACUUAUUGGCUUUUCAGCUGUUGAUAAGAGCAGGGUGCUGGGACUCUUGGCAUCUUGAAAUCAUUACCCAGGUGAUUUUCCUUUACAGCACUGAGCUCUUUGGUAUUCUGAAAAAAUUAUUUAGCAUCAGAGACUCAAGGGGAUGGUCAGGAUCGAUGCAAAGUAUACAUUUGUCUUUGACAUGAUGCAUACAGGGUGAACCUGAGACCCUGGCCAUCUUUUCAAGACUAUGACUUCUUUUCCUGAGGAAAAUAUUAAAGAAUAAUUUUUUUUAAUACCUUCUCCUGUUUCUUGCCCUUCUGAAAUGGCUCCCUACUUCCUAUAGAUUUUAAUAUCUACCUCUGUCCCUUUUCCACUCCAGACUAUGAAAGAGGCUCCCUGAUACAACCACCCUGAGAAGUAAGUGAGUUAGAUUUAUUCCCAAAAUACUGAUGAUGGGGACAAGGAUUUUAUGGGUGACUUUUACUUAGGAGGAACUUUCAGAAUCCAUUCAUAAAAUAUUUUUCACUGAAGGGAUCUUUCUGGUCACUCACAAAUCAAACCACAUAGGGGAUACUUACAUUAUGAAUAAACAUGUCUAUUUUACACAAGAUCUCUGAGAAUAUAAUCUUUUAUAGUUAAACACUUUAAGUUGGCAACUGGCUUGAUCAUGUUAUAGCCAGACCACAAGGGGCCGAGACACUCUGGUGCGAACAGACACUCUGGUGCAAAGCAUCAAUGAUCUGAAUUCCUCCUGCAACUAGUAGGAAAUUUGAGUUGACUUAUUUUCAGUAGUGUGAGUAAGGAUAUUAUACAGGUAAGGGUGAAUGUCUGUUACUGAAGUUUGAUUUCCGAGCUGUGACUCUUACCCUUACUUGAUAAAUCUCUCUAUAUUUUAAUGUGACAAAAUUAAUUUCUUGAUACAUAGUUAAAAGCAAGCUGAAUAAUAAAUUCAUUUAAUUUACCCUAUUACACUAGUACUUUGUGUGAAUUAACUUUGGGGAAACAUAUUGAACUUGUCUUGGACUUUCUUUUUCACCCUGGGACCAGAGAUGGAUGGUGUUACAAAUGCUCCAUCUCUGUACUUUGCUUCUGCUUGACAUGAUUUUGUUCUUUUUGACAGAUGUUCAGUGGUAAAAAGUAAUGUGAUUAUUAAGUUCUCACUUGACAUUGUGGAAAUUUCAAUGCUAAGUUAGCAGGUAAAAGUGUCAUAAUCUAUUUCUAUUAUGUUUACUUCCAGAACUUCAAAGGAUUAGAGCAAUCGGUUCCUGAGUCAGAAAGGAGAGUGUAACAUGCCGACACCAAGUGAAAUUAAGUUUGUUAACAGUACUUGACCUUUCUACAACUCUACAGGUUUUGCUUCAUUUUCUGGAGGAAGAUGAUUUACAAAGAGAUUAGGUAAGUUGUCCAACAUCCCACAGAGAGGAAGUUGCCAUUUGAGUAAGGCCAUCUGAACCCCACGUCCAGUUGGUUGUGCACCAGAUAGUUGGGUUCCUGCCUAUUUCAUUUG